CCCGUCAAUUCAUUUGAGUUUCAVCCUUGCGACCAUACUCCCCAGGCGGAGCACUUAACACUUUCGCUGCGGCUGGAAGGCUAUGGAGGACCCUCCAACCCAGUGCUCAUCGUUUACAGCUAGGACUACCGGGGUAUCUAAUCCCGUUCGCUCCCCUAGCUUUCGUGCYUCAGCGUCAGAGGAGACCCAGUGAGCCGCUUUCGCCACUGGUGUUCCUUAGGAUAUCAACGCAUUUCACCGCUCCACCCUAAGUUCCGCUCACCUCUGUCUCCCUCGAGCACGGCAGUAUCAAGCGCAAUUCCUCGGUUGAGCCGAGGGAUUUCACACCCAACUUACCGCGCCGCCUACGCACCCUUUAAGCCCAGUAAUUCCGAAUAACGUUUGGACGGUUCGUCUUACCGCGGCUGCUGGCACGAACUUAGCCCGUCCUUCCUCUGAGGAUAUGUCAAAUAUGAGAGAGUACCCUCAUAUAUUUCAUCCCCUCUGACAGUGGUUUACAACCCGAAGGCCUUCAUCCCACACGCGGCGUCGCUCGGUCAGGCUUGCGCCCAUUGCCGAAGAUCCUCGACUGCAGCCACCCGUAGGUGUCUGGGCAGUGUCUCAGUCCCAGUGAGCUGGGUCAUGCUCUCACACCCAGUACCCAUCAUUGCCUUGGUAGGCCAUUACCCUACCAACUAGCUAAUAGGACGCGGUCUCAUCCACAGGCGGAAUCACACCUUUGAUCCGGGGAUAUUAUCCGGUAUUAAUUGCGGUUUCCCGCAGCUAUCCCGGGCCUGAGGGUAGAUGAACCACGCGUUACUCUCCCUUACGCCGCUCGAGUACCCCUUGCGGGGCCUUUCCGCUCGACUUGCAUGCCUAAUCCACGCCGCCAACGUUCAUUCUGAGCCAGGAUCAAACUCU
rnacentral:rRNA from 1 species